AGCUACGUGUUAACGCGUACAUGAAAGAAAAUUCUUCAAAUCUUUAAAGCUUCGUAGCGAAAGAUACGCGUAAAGCUUUGGAAGCUUGUAGUCCAUCGUAUGCAUCCUAACACGCCUUUUUUUAUCUUAUUUUGUACAACUGACACUUCCUGUUCGUUUGUAACGUCUCUAAUGAGAAACAUGCAGUUCUGCUGAAUUUCAAACCAGAAGCGGCACUUUUUUGAAGCUUUUGGACUGCAACGAUAAUUUCUGGAAGCAAGCGUUGUUUGGCUUAAGCUAUCAACUAUCUCAGCUCUUGUAAUCUUAUAUUCAAUUUCGCGAUACAAUUCAGAUAUAAAGAGUUGACGAUCACGGCAAAUUUAUCAUUUGGCUUGUAGCAUUAAA